rnacentral:rRNA from 1 species
GAUGAACGCUGGCGGCGUGCCUAAUACAUGCAAGUCGAGCGAACGGACGAGAAGCUUGCUUCUCUGAUGUUAGCGGCGGACGGGUGAGUAACACGUGGAUAACCUACCUAUAAGACUGGGAUAACUUCGGGAAACCGGAGCUAAUACCGGAUAAUAUUUUGAACCGCAUGGUUCAAAAGUGAAAGACGGUCUUGCUGUCACUUAUAGAUGGAUCCGCGCUGCAUUAGCUAGUUGGUAAGGUAACGGCUUACCAAGGCAACGAUGCAUAGCCGACCUGAGAGGGUGAUCGGCCACACUGGAACUGAGACACGGUCCAGACUCCUACGGGAGGCAGCAGUAGGGAAUCUUCCGCAAUGGGCGAAAGCCUGACGGAGCAACGCCGCGUGAGUGAUGAAGGUCUUCGGAUCGUAAAACUCUGUUAUUAGGGAAGAACAUAUGUGUAAGUAACUGUGCACAUCUUGACGGUACCUAAUCAGAAAGCCACGGCUAACUACGCGCCAGCAGCCGCGGUAAUACGUAGGUGGCAAGCGUUAUCCGGAAUUAUUGGGCGUAAAGCGCGCGUAGGCGGUUUUUUUAAGUCUGAUGUGAAAGCCCACGGCUCAACCGUGGAGGGUCAUUGGAAACUGGAAAACUUGAGUGCAGAAGAGGAAAGUGGAAUUCCAUGUGUAGCGGUGAAAUGCGCAGAGAUAUGGAGGAACACCAGUGGCGAAGGCGACUUUCUGGUCUGUAACUGACGCUGAUGUGCGAAAGCGUGGGGAUCAAACAGGAUUAGAUACCCUGGUAGUCCACGCCGUAAACGAUGAGUGCUAAGUGUUAGGGGGUUUCCGCCCCUUAGUGCUGCAGCUAACGCAUUAAGCACUCCGCCUGGGGAGUACGACCGCAAGGUUGAAACUCAAAGGAAUUGACGGGGACCCGCACAAGCGGUGGAGCAUGUGGUUUAAUUCGAAGCAACGCGAAGAACCUUACCAAAUCUUGACAUCCUUUGACAACUCUAGAGAUAGAGCCUUCCCCUUCGGGGGACAAAGUGACAGGUGGUGCAUGGUUGUCGUCAGCUCGUGUCGUGAGAUGUUGGGUUAAGUCCCGCAACGAGCGCAACCCUUAAGCUUAGUUGCCAUCAUUAAGUUGGGCACUCUAAGUUGACUGCCGGUGACAAACCGGAGGAAGGUGGGGAUGACGUCAAAUCAUCAUGCCCCUUAUGAUUUGGGCUACACACGUGCUACAAUGGACAAUACAAAGGGCAGCGAAACCGCGAGGUCAAGCAAAUCCCAUAAAGUUGUUCUCAGUUCGGAUUGUAGUCUGCAACUCGACUACAUGAAGCUGGAAUCGCUAGUAAUCGUAGGUCAGCAUGCUACGGUGAAUACGUUCCCGGGUCU